GAUGAACGCUGGCGGCGUGCUUAACACAUGCAAGUCGAGCGAACAGACGAGGAGCUUGUUCCUUUGACGUUAGCGGCGCACGGGUGAGUAACAUGUGUAUAACCUACUUAUAAGACUGGGAUAACCUCGGGAAACCGGAGCUAAUACCGGAUAAUAUACUGAACCGCAUGGUUCAUUAGUGAAAGUCGGCUUUGCUGUCUCUUAUAGAUGGAUCCCGGCCGCAUUGGAUAGUUGGUAAGGUAACGGCCUAUCAAGGCAACGAUGCGUAGGCGAAGUGAGAGGGUGGUAGCCCACCCGGGAACUGGAACACGGACAAGACGCCUGCGGGAGGGAGCAGUCGGGUAUCGUCCGCAAUAGGCGGAAACAUGGCGGAGCGGCGGCGAGUGAGUGGUGACAAUGUUCGGAUCGGAAAGCUCUGUUUUUGGGGAAAAACAAAUGUGGAAGUAGCUGUGCACGUAUUGACGGUACCUGAUCAAAAAGCAACGGCUAACUACGUG
rnacentral:rRNA from 1 species